rnacentral:piRNA from 1 species
UACCCACUGGAUUUGAAAAGGAUGGUC